rnacentral:lncRNA from 1 species
UAUAGAAUGCAAUUGAUGUGUUGUAUUUGAGUGUGCGGCAAAGCAAUGGAGCGCAUCAUAGUGCAUCGCACUUAUUGGCCACUAGCAGAUUCUUCUGCGACCAGAACAGCCGGCUGAACGAGCUGAUGGCCGAGACCAAGACCACGGAGUAAAGAACACUCAUUGUUAUGUAUUCUGUGCCAAGACCGAGAUAUCGCUGGCUCCCCCCUCCACUGGCAAGGACCAGAUAGCUAUAGCUGGUGACAAGGAGGGAGUGCAAGCUGCCAAGGACCACAUCAUGGCUGUCUACAACGAAAUGCACUGACGAUGAUAUAGGAGAAGGCGAACAGCGUAGUGGAGCAGUACCUAGACGUGCCCUCCUAGAUCCACCGACAUCUGAUCGGCAAAAAGGGCGCCGACAUUCUCAAGACAAAGGAGGACAGCCCCAAGGUCUAUUUCGAAAAGAACAAGGACCGCCAGGAGAAGGACAAUCGUAUCAGAAUAGAAGGU